rnacentral:rRNA from 1 species
AGAGUUCGAUUAUGGCUCAGGAUGAACGCUAGCUACAGGCUUAACACAUGCAAGUCGAGGGGAAACGACAUCGAAAGCUUGCUUUUGAUGGGCGUCGACCGGCGCACGGGUGAGUAACGCGUAUCCAACCUGCCCAUCACUUGGGAAUAACCUUGCGAAAGUAAGACUAAUACCCAAUGAUAUCCCACGAAGGCAUCCGAAUGGGAUUAAAGAUUUAUCGGUGAUGGAUGGGGAUGCGUCUGAUUAGCUUGUUGGCGGGGUAACGGCCCACCAAGGCAACGAUCAGUAGGGGUUCUGAGAGGAAGGUCCCCCACAUUGGAACUGAGACACGGUCCAA